CGGAAGGAUCAUUAUUGAAAUAUAUAUUGGUUGUAGCUGGUCAUCACAAGAUGACAUGUGCACACCUAUAAUCCAAUCUCACACCCUGUGCACCUUUUGUAGACUUUAAUGUCUAUGUUUUAUUACACACCAUAAAAGUUUAGAAUGUUUGGAUACUAUAAUAAUUAUAAUACAACUUUCAACAAUGGAUCUCUUGGCUCUCGCAUCGAUGAAGAACGCAGCGAAACGCGAUAAGUAAUGUGAAUUGCAGAAUUCAGUGAAUCAUCGAAUCUUUGAACGCACCUUGCGCUCCUUGGUAUUCCGAGGAGCAUGCCUGUUUGAGUGUCAUUAAAUCAAUCAAUCACUUUUUUUUGCUUUGAACAAAAAAGGGAUUUGGAUUUGGAGUGUUGCUGGCUUGUCAAAGUCAGCUCCUCUUAAAUGCAUUAGCGUGUACACACUUUGUGGAUAGGCUUUGGUUUGAUAAAAUAUCUAUGCCAUUGCUGUGAAACAAAAAGUCAGCUACUAAUGAGUUAGUUAAUUACUAUCAUUAUUACUCUUGACCUCAAAUCAGGUAGGACUACCCGCUGAACUU
rnacentral:rRNA from 1 species